ensembl:lncRNA
AGACCAGCUGGCAGACUAUUCAAAGAAAAGAACCGUUCUUUCUGGAAAUACUCAGGACUGAAAUCAUCUAUCAGGGGGUUGAUAGAAGCUCUCUGGGAUCGAUUGCAGGAAGACUGUGCCAACCAUCGUUUUAGAAAUUUGAACAGAAUUAGAACAGCUUCUGGCACAGAAUUGAGCAUGUAGUAGGAGCUUUCAAAAUGAAUGGAAUGUGAACGGACAUAUCUGCUCAAAGUGUAUAUCUUACUCCGGGAUCAAUGGGCUCAUCUUCCUGGACGAAGGGAAGCUUUAUUGUUCCAGAGCAUCAUUCAACUUCUGAAAUGGAGACAGGAAAGUGCUGCACAACAGUUCCCCAUGAAUGCAGCUAAACGGGAUGUGACUAGACAUGCCGCCUAGCAGAGCCUACGAUCUUCAUUCUUCAGGAAGUCGUGGAUGAGGUGUGGACACUUACUGCAGAUGGGAGAUGGCAGAAAGUGGCUACACUUGGAGAUUAAGCAGGAGUUUGGGGACCCAAAUGGUCACUGGUUUGGAGUCCCUUCUACGUAACUCCCUUUGGAACCAGGAUUUCAUUUGUUCAACAGACGGCAUGAAAGUGCUUCCCAUGGGCUGACUUCAACUGGAAACUGGAGGGCAAGGGAGCUCGUUGAUGUAGUCCACAUGUGUCAAACUUCUGGAACACAGAGCCAGGAAGAGGAUGGAGAGUGGAUCUGAAGGGGUGAAUGGAAGACAUCUGACAUGGAUGCUACGGGCUAGAGAGAAGAGGGGGCUAUGGGACCAAGUGGAAAGAAGUGAGACUGAAAAAACACCCGAGCAAGGCGGCCUGUUCCAGGUUGCUGGUUGGCAGCCAAGCAGCCUGAGGUCAUCUCACUGGUACCCGGAAAGACCGCCCACUGUCAGCUGUCAGCCUGAUGCCCAGUGCAGGCUCCAUUUGGAGCCAUGAUCGUCUGCGCAGUGAGACUCUGUCCAAUGCCCCAUCUGCCUCUCAUUUAUGAACAUCACCAGUGCCCUUGCAUGUGCCCACAGAUGGGAGGCCGAGGACUUAAACCUCUUUAUAAAAAACUAAAUUUAGUUAAAAAACAAAAAUUGUAUAUAUUUAAGGUGUACACCAUGAUGAUUAGAUAUGCAUAUACACAGUGAAAUGAUUACUAAGUGAAGUUAAGUAACUUGUCAUCUCAUCCCAUAGUUACCACUUUUUUUUGUCAUGAGAGCACCUGAAAUCUACUCUCUUAGCAAAUUUCCAGUAUUCAGUACAGUAUUAUCAACUAUAAUCAUCAUGCUGUACAUCAGAUGUCUGGACUCACUGAGGGGUGAUGCUGGCACGAAGGCAGGAGCCUCAUCUCUGGCCAAGGUGGGACCAGACUGAGCACGUUUAGCAGGACUGCUGUCCGCAACGCUGUUUCAGUUAACAUGAUGUAACCGGGGACAUUCCUGGGCAGGACAGUAGAGCCUCAGAGCAGCAGCUGCUGGAGGAGUUCCCUAUAAAUUGUCAAUGGUGUUAGGAUUUGGGCUAUGUCUCAAUAUAUGUGGAUGUGUUUUCUUCUGUUACAGAGCUGACCUUGAAAUUGGCGAUAUGGAUGACUGGGAAUCUUUCAAAUUUCAUUACUCCAGGUAGAGCCCCAAAUCCAUAAUAUGGCCUGCUGGGCUGUGCAAAACCCAGCCCCGCCUGCCUCACCAUCAUCAUCUUGUGGCACUUGCCCCUUGUUCUCUGCACUCUACACCCAGAGCCUUAUUUCAGGGCCUCCAAUGGCCACACCCUUUUCACCUCUUGGUCUGCCCCUCUGAUUCCCUCUGUCUCCUCCUCUAGCCACUUUGUUCCUUAAUUUCUACUCAACUCAAGGUUACUUCUUCAUGAAAGCCCUCCCCGACCUUCUGGACAGGGCAGGGUCAUCACUUGCAUGUUCUCAUAGCAUCUUUCCCGUCUAUCACUUCUGAAAAUUUUAAUUAAAUCAUUAAGUGGACAAAUAGUUGUUUAAUGUCUGCUCUCCCGCCCCCGGCUGUUUGACUGUAAGCUCUGAUUUGCUGCUGCCUGGUGCCUGUGCAUAGAAGACACUCCGUAAAUAUUUGAGCGAAUUAUUGACCAAAAGCUGAAAAUGAGUUAGGAGUGGGUGUAUACACACUGCACAGAAAAGAAAUAAGAAGAGGCAUAGAUUAGAAAGGACAUACUUCCCGCCCUCUCCCCACCCCAGCCUUUCUUGGUGCUGGGAAUGAGGAGCAGAGGCCAGGAGAGAAAGCAGUGAAAAACAGGGCGCAGAGGCAGGCAGAGUUGACCAAUUCCCCAGACACUGCGGGACGAGGAGCAAAAGCCGUUGUUAGAUGUCACAACACUGAUCUCAUGCCUUCUAGCGAAAGAAAAUCUGGUCAAGCAAUAUUAACAGAAGAAGCCUUUAAAAAUGUGAGAAUAGUAAACCGCCUCUCUGCUGACUGAUUUGCAAAGGUCCGGGCUCAGAGCCUGAAGUGAUAACAGGUUCAGGCCAUCAGAAAUUAUUUUAACUGGUGUCCUGACAUCUGGGGAAUUCAGGGGCCAGCCAAAUGAAGCGGGCUAUUUAUAAAAUGUUUGUAGCUCUCUAGUCCCUCAGAACAACAAACACAAGAAGGCAUCGAAAUACCGAUAUUAGAAUUCACCUGUCCCAAAUUACAAAGUAGUCAGGAGCAGAGAAUAAAAUGCCAGGAUUAAAACCUACAUCUUUAUUUCGUGAUGGCAGAUUUAUAUUUGUGGGAGGGGAUGGUCUCUACGGAAGAGAUCGCAUUAUAAACUUGGGCCUGACAGCCUCUAAGAAAUAAUGCCUGGCUCCAGAGAAGGACAGAGUUGAAGUUUAUAGGGAACUUAGAGAAAUGAUUUAGGAGACCCAUGAGAAUGUCAAGAAAGAGAUUGGUGAAGCAGGUGAGGAACCGAGUGAGAAAGGGAGUGGGAAUAUGUGAGUGAGAUGAUGGGGGGAGCAAGGCAAGAGGAUGAAGGAGACAAAUCUGACUAAUAGGUGCAUAGCCAUUGCAAAUCCUUAUUUAUUUAUUAUUUUUUUUCAAUUCUCUGUCUUUUUACUCCUACUAUUAGUUUUUUUUCUAAAACCUCUUUUUUGGGGUAGAUUGACAUACAAAAAGCUGUAGAUGGUUAAUGUAUACAACUUGAUGUGUUUGGAGAUAUGUAUAUACCUGUGAAACCAUCAACACAAUCUAUACCAUAAAUAUCCUUUACCUCCAAAAGUUUCCUCUCUUCCUUUUUUGUUGUUGGUUUUUUUUUUUUUUAAAGAUUGGCACUUGAGCUAACAUCUAUUGCCAAUCUUCAUCUUUUUUCCCUUCUUCUUCCUCUCCCCAAAGCCCCC